UACGUAGGGUGCAAGCGUUAAUCGGAAUUACUGGGCGUAAAGCGUGCGCAGGCGGUUUUGUAAGACAGAGGUGAAAUCCCCGGGCUCAACCUGGGAACUGCCUUUGUGACUGCAAGGCUUGAGUGCGGCAGAAGGGGAUGGAAUUCCGCGUGUAGCAGUGAAAUGCGUAGAUAUGCGGAGGAACACCGAUGGCGAAGGCAAUCCCCUGGGCCUGCACUGACGCUCAUGCACGAAAGCGUGGGGAGCAAACAGG
rnacentral:rRNA from 1 species